UCAUAUGCUUGUCUCAAAGAUUAAGCCAUGCAUGUGUAAGUACAAGCCGAGUUAAGGCGAAACCGCGAAUGGCUCAUUAAACCAGCUAUGUUUCAUUGGAUCUGUAAACCCACUUACUUGGAUAACUGUGGUAAUUCUAGAGCUAAUACAUGCAUCACGUCUCUGACCGCAAGGGAAGAGCGCUUUUAUUAGUUCAAAACUGGUCGGGCCUCGGUCCGUUAACCCACUUGUGGUGAAACUGAAUAACUUUUCGCUGAGCGCACGGUCUCCGCACUGGCGCCGCGUCUUUCAAGUGUCUGCCUUAUCAGCUUUCGAUUGUAGGUUAUGCGCUUACAAUGGCUAUAACGGGUAACGGGGAAUCAGGGUUCGAUUCCGGAGAGGGAGCCUGAGAAACGGCUACCACAUCUAAGGAAGGCAGCAGGCGCGCAAAUUACCCACUCCCGGCACGGGGAGGUAGUGACGAAAAAUAACGAUGCGAGACUCAUCCGAGGCCUCGUAAUUGGAAUGAGUACACUUUAAAUCCUUUAACGAGGAUCAAUUGGAGGGCAAGUCUGGUGCCAGCAGCCGCGGUAAUUCCAGCUCCAAUAGCGUAUAUUAAAGUUGUUGCGGUUAAAAAGCUCGUAGUUGGCUCUCAGUUCCGGACUGACGGUGCACCGCCCAGGUGUUUAUUGUCACGCUCCGAACAGCUAACGCCCGGCCGGCUCGCACGGGGUGCUCUUUACCGAGUGUCCCGGGUGGCCGGCAAGUUUACUUUGAAAAAAUUAGAGUGCUCAGAGCAGGCUACGUGAAUGGCCCGAAUGUCUAUGCAUGGAAUAAUGGAAUAGGACCUCGGUUCUAUUUUGUUGGUUUUCGGAACCUGAGGUAAUGACUAAUCGGAACAGGCGGGGGCAUUCGUAUUGCGACGCUAGAGGUGAAAUUCUUGGACCGUCGCAAGACGAACUACUGCGAAAGCAUUUGCCAAGGAUGUUUUCAUUAAUCAAGAACGAAAGUUAGAGGUUCGAAGGCGAUCAGAUACCGCCCUAGUUCUAACCGUAAACGAUGCCAACUAACGAUCCGCCGGCGUUAUUCCCAUGACCCGGCGGGCAGCUUCCGGGAAACCAAAGUCUUUGGGUUCCGGGGGUAGUAUGGUUGCAAAGCUGAAACUUAAAGGAAUUGACGGAAGGGCACCACCAGGAGUGGAGCCUGCGGCUUAAUUUGACUCAACACGGGGAACCUCACCAGGCCCGGACACCGGAAAGAUUGACAGAUUGAGAGUUCUUUCUCGAUUCGGUGGGUGGUGGUGCAUGGCCGUUCUUAGUUGGUGGAGCGAUUUGUCUGGUUAAUUCCGAUAACGAACGAGACUCUGGCCUAUUAACUAGUCGACGGAUCUCCAGCAAUUGGUGUCCAGUUCGCAACUUCUUCUUAGAGGGAUAAGCGGUAAUUCUAGCCGCACGAGAUUGAGCAAUAACAGGUCUGUGAUGCCCUUAGAUGUUCUGGGCCGCACGCGCGCUACACUGAAGGGAUCAACGUGUUUUCCCCCUCCGAGAGGAGCGGGUAACCCGUUCAAACCCCUUCAUGAUAGGGAUUGGGGCUUGCAAUUGUUUCCCAUGAACGAGGAAUUCCUAGUAAGUGCAAGUCAUCAGCUUGCGCUGAUUACGUCCCUGCCCUUUGUACACACCGCCCGUCGCUACUACCGAUUGAAUGAGUUAGUGAGGCCUUCGGACUGGCGCUCUUGGAUGUCCUACCCCGCGCGUCUCGGCGCAAGUCGGGGUUCUCGCCUCGAGCUGACGGAAAGAUGUCCAAACUUGAUCAUUUAGAGGAAGUAAAAGUCGUAACAAGGUUUCC
rnacentral:rRNA from 1 species